CAAGAGUUGGAAUUAAGCUGAAUAGAGGCCGGUCCAAUCGCACAGAAUCUUUUUACGUGACUAUUCGUCACAUUUUUUCAAUAAAAAUUAUUGAUAAAUAUUUAUCAAACGUUUGUUAUUUAAACAAAUUCGGUGAAAAAUGGCGCCAAAUGCUGUACCUCAAGAAAAAUUAGAAAAACCCUCCAGGGGUAUCAAUGCUGUUUUACUCGGCCCACCUGGUAGUGGAAAAGGAACACAGGCUCCACUAUUCAAAGAGAGAUACUGCGUGUGUCACUUAUCAACUGGGGACAUGCUGCGAGCAGAAAUAGAAUCUGGAUCAAAGCUUGGCGCCGAAUUGAAGAAAAUAAUGGACGAGGGCAAGCUGGUCAGCGACGACCUGGUUGUCAACAUGAUCGACAGUAAUUUAAACAAACCAGAAUGCAAGCGCGGAUUUCUCUUGGACGGAUUUCCAAGGAGCGUUCCUCAGGCGGAGAAGCUUGACGAGAUGCUCCAGAAGCGGAAAACUAAGCUUGACGCUGUCAUCGAGUUUGGGAUCGAUGAUAACUUGCUGGUGAAGCGAAUCUCGGGAAGGUUGCUCCACCAACCCAGCGGUAGGACUUACCACGAGGAGUUUGCGCCUCCAAAGGUCCCAAUGAAGGAUGACAUUACCGGUGAGCCGCUGACCAGGAGGUCUGACGAUAACGCUGAAGCCCUCAAGAAAAGGCUGGUCACUUACCACACUCAGACCCAGCCGCUCGUGGACUACUAUGCCCUCCAGGGAAUCCACAAUUACGUAAAUGCUGCUAAGUCCAGUGAGCAAGUCUUCAAGGACAUUGACAGUAUUUUCAUGAAAGCCAUUAAGCAUGAUUCGAGCAAAGGGUUCUUCAGUAGAUUCUUUUAAAUGUCUGAGGGCAUUUUUGUUUCUUGACCUUGGUAAUUUCGUUCAGUCUUAUUACUAAUUGCUUUCGUUUAUUAUUUUUGGGUAAAAAAAAUUAUUCUGGCAUCUGAAAAAAUU